AUGUCGUCCUUUUCGUCCCCCUACCCGUCUCUGAAGCCUGCGUGGUCCCUGCCAUCUGACCUCUGGCUCCUCAGAGAGCUUUCUUCAGACUCCAAAGCCAGUACUUUAAUUCUCUCAUCCUCCCCCACUGAGGUCCUAGUGCAGGGCCGAGGGGCUGCUGACCGGUUCCGUAAGAUGGCCAGAAUCCUAGCGCACAUCUGCGGGUUGACCCUGAGCUUGAAAAGAUAUAUUGGAAAUAGCCCAGCAGUACAGUGGGUGGCCUUCCAUUUGAAGAUACAAAAUAGAAUAAGAAAUGGAAUGUUAUUAAACAUCUUCACUGAAGCUAAAAUGAAUCUGACCAAGGAUUCUGCCAUACUUAAGAGUCUGUUAUCUGUUUGCCCACAUCGAAGAAGUGUAGAAGAUUUCAGACAAAUUCAAGAACAUUUAAAGAAGAACAUCUCAUUUCAGCAUUUGCCAAAUGAAGUCCAACUCCAACGUUGCCAAAUUGUAAUCUAUCAUGAGUACGAAGCUAAAAGUGUAAUUAUAAAGAAAGGACGCUGGCCAAUGGAAUGCUACUUUGUGCUUUCUGGAAAAUUAGCAGCUGUAUCAAGUUUAACAGCUGAAAAUUCCAACUCAGAAAUUAUAAGUGAAUUUGAAGAAGGAGACUUUGUAGGGGAAACUUGUCUGUUAACUAACACCCGCCGACCUACUACAAUUGUAUGCAAAUCAGAUGCAGAACUUCUGGUGAUAAGUAAGAAGGACUUCGACUACAUUCUCUCAGAUAUAGUACAAGAACAAUUUCAAGGAAUGUGCAGCUUCAUAAGGGAUCUGCCAAUGUUCUCUCCCUGGUCAAAAGAGAAGAUUGAUUAUCUUGUUCACUGUUCCUCACUCAGACGCUAUAGGGCUGGGUUUCUUGUCUGUGAAAAUUUAUACUCCAACUACCUCAUCAUAAUCAGAUCGGGUCGGUGCCUGGUAAUGGCCCAGAUAGGAGAGAAUAUAUCUUCACGAAGCAGUUCGGACACACUGAAGUCAGGUCCAUGAUUGGAAUUAAACACCAUCCUGCCAACCACAUAUGGUGGCUCUUAGUGAGAAAUCCUCAACCCUUCAGAUAUGACUUAAGAGAGAAUUCAUGGGUAUGUAUUAUGUAUAUAUAAUAUGCAUUCCCCUAAUUUAAUAAAAUUCAUUUUUUACCAAAGCA
rnacentral:lncRNA from 1 species